CCUCAUCCACCAACCCUUUCUCUUUUAAUCUCUUACACUAUCCUUUUCUUUCAUUCAUUUUCUUCCAGUACUUCUCCAGGUUCUUUUCCUCUUGCUAACGUGUCUGGCUUAAGGCUUUCUUCAAGCUUUUCAUCAAAAUACAAUUACAACAAUCGCACAAGAUCACAAAAUCAAAUUGCACAAGAAAUCAAGAAAUCAACCAAUUUCACUAACCCUAGAACGAAUUCAACAAGUGGGUUUCACCAUUUUUCUUCUGGAAUUUCAAAUGGAGUAGAGGGCUUUUAAGUUGCAGCUAGCCAGGAGCUUUAAUUUGUUGGUCAGGGAAACAUUUGAGAGCACAUUUACAGCUAGAUGAAGGAGACGUAUGUGGUACAUGUGUUUUCCAAGGAUCAUGUGACUGGGCCUUGCUGUUAAAACACAGCGUCAAGGAAAUCUGCUUGCUGUUAAAACACAGUGUCAAGGAAAUCUGCUUGCUGUUAAAACACAAUGUCAAGAAUCCUCCAGGAAUUUCACAGCGUCAAGAAAUCUGCUUGCUGUUAAAACACAGUGUCAAGGAAAUCUGCUUGCUGUUAAAACACAAUGUCAAGAAAUCUGCUUGCUGUUAAAACACAGUGUCAAGAAUCCUCCAGCAAUUUGCUUGCUGUUAAAACACAGCGUCAAGAAAUCUGCUUGCUGUUAAAACACAGCGUCAAGAAAUCUGCUUGCUAUUAAAACACAUCGUCAAGAAAUCUGCUUGCUGUUAAAACACAUUGUCAAGAAAUCUGCUUGCUGUUAAAACACAGUGUCAAGAAUCCUUCAGCAAUCUGCUUGCUGUUAAAACACAGUGUCAAGAAUCCUCCAGCAAUCUGUUUGUUGUUAAAACACAGCGUCAAGAAAUCUGCUUGCUGUUAAAACACAUUGUCAAGAAACACAGCGUCUUGUACGAUUUAAAUUGAAACUAUCAAUUUGAUUUAAAUGGAAUAUUUAGUUUCCAUAA